rnacentral:rRNA from 1 species
AUUGAACGCUGGCGGCAUGCCUAACACAUGCAAGUCGAGCGGAGCGGCGGACGGGUGAGUAAUGCCUAGGAAUCUGCAUGGUAGUGGGGGAUAACGUCCGGGAACGGGAGCUAAUACCGCAUACUAUCAGAUGAGCCUAGGUCGGCUUCGCUGGUUGGGGGGGUAAAGGCCUACCAAGGCGACGAGGCGGAACUGGGCUGAGAGGAGGAUCCGUCACACUGGGAUGGAGACACGGUCCAGACUCCUACGGGAGGCAGCAGUGGGGAAUAUUGGACAAUGGGCGAAAGCCUGAUCCAGCCAUGCCGCGUGUGUGAAGAAGGUCUUCGGAUUGUAAAGCACUUUAAGUUGUGAGGCGUUACCAACAGAAUAAGCACCGGCUAACUUCGUGCCAGCAGCCGCGGUAAUAC